GGAUUUAGUGGCGGACGGGUGAGUAACGCGUGAGAAUCUGGCUCUAGGUCUGGGACAACCACUGGAAACGGUGGCUAAUACCGGAUGUGCCGAGAGGUGAAAGGUUAACUGCCUAGAGAUGAGCUCGCGUCUGAUUAGCUAGUUGGAAGUGUAAUGGACUCCCAAGGCGACGAUCAGUAGCUGGUCUGAGAGGACGAUCAGCCACACUGGGACUGAGACACGGCCCAGACUCCUACGGGAGGCAGCAGUGGGGAAUUUUCCGCAAUGGGCGAAAGCCUGACGGAGCAAUACCGCGUGAGGGAGGAAGGCUCUUGGGUCGUAAACCUCUUUUCUCAGGGAAGAACACAAUGACGGUACUUGAGGAAUAAGCAUCGGCUAACUCCGUGCCAGCAGCCGCGGUAAUACGGAGGAUGCAAGCGUUAUCCGGAAUGAUUGGGCGUAAAGCGUCCGCAGGUGGCAAUGUAAGUCUGCUGUUAAAGAGUCUAGCUCAACUAGAUAAGAGCAGUGGAAACUACAUAGCUAGAGUACGUUCGGGGCAGAGGGAAUUCCUGGUGUAGCGGUGAAAUGCGUAGAGAUCAGGAAGAACACCGGUGGCGAAGGCGCUCUGCUAGGCCGUAACUGACACUGAGGGACGAAAGCUAGGGGAGCGAAUGGGAUUAGAUACCCCAGUAGUCCUAGCCGUAAACGAUGGAUACUAGGCGUG
rnacentral:rRNA from 8 species